rnacentral:rRNA from 1 species
GACGAACCUUGCUAACGUUAUUCGGAAUUACUGGGCGUAAAGCGUGCGCAGGCGGUUGUGCAAGACAGAUGUGAAAUCCCCGGGCUCAACCUGGGAAUUGCAUUUGUGACUGUACGGCUAGAGUGUGUCAGAGGGGGGUAGAAUUCCACGUGUAGCAGUGAAAUGCGUAGAGAUGUGGAGGAAUACCGAUGGCGAAGGCAGCCCCCUGGGAUAACACUGACGCUCAUGCACGAAAGCGUGGGGAGCAAACAGG